rnacentral:lncRNA from 1 species
UUAAAUGAAACUAUUUUUAAAAAGGUUAUUUUACCUAUUUAAUAUAAUUUUGUCAUGUUUAAUGCAUAUAUCAUUUAGUUUUUUAAUAUAAUACAUAAUAUAAUUAUAAAUUUAUAAAAAAUAUAGAUUUUUAUUUUCUUGUUUUAUAAUAAAAUUUUAAUUAACAUUGAUUUAUAAUAACAGUAUAUUACUAAUUAAGAAAUUAAUUAGUAGUGUUAGUAGUAUUUUGUUAGAUUCUUUUUCAACAGAUUUUGUUCAUUAAAAAAUAAAAUUCG